rnacentral:lncRNA from 1 species
AGCUACAGGAGUGGAAGGCGCAGCCAAGCAGCCGCUGGUAUUUCUGUGUUGCAUAUGGGCUGGGGUCCCUCCUGUCCUUCUCUCCUACACGAUCCCAGAUCUGAUUUCUAAUGGUGUUGUAUUUCCUCCCUAAAUCAUUUUUCAAUAGUAUUUUUGUUCUUCUGUGGGAUACAGAAGAACUUUUUUUUCCUAUUGCAAUAAGGACAAGUAAACAAGUCAGAAGCCUCAGAAGACCUCAAGAGAGAAAUCACAGCCUUCAAUUCCUGGUCCCUUUCUGAAACCUCAGCUCUUGAUUCACUUAAUUUCAAGGAGAAUUGUUUUAUGACUACGCCAAGCUGACCCAAAGACCCCUGGGAAGCACGUGGCCCAUCAGAGGGAAGGGCUAGGCCCUGGGGCUGGAAAGGAUGCAGAGCCUGUUUUCAACAAUUACGUCUACAUUUUCCAAGAGAUUAAACCGAUUGGAAGCCAAGCAUUGGAGAAGAGAUCUUUUGUCUUCCUUGGCAACAUUUCUGAAAUCUACAGAUAGGGAUGAGGAAGUGAGGCACAUUUUUCAUCUGUUCCAACAAACUGCCAAUGGAAUGGCUGACAUGCCAUUUUAGUGUAUGUCAUCUCUCCCGUGUUCCGUCAUCACUGAGGGUCAGCUGGGCCCUGCCCUUGAAUACAGCACAGGGCUGGUGUCAUGGAGCCGGCCUUCCUUACACUAAUGAACCGCAGGAGCCUCCCCUUGUCCCUUGCCUGGGGGGAACUAAUGGCAUUGCAGGGCAAAGGCUCAGCAGGGACCCUGUAGAUAGAGGAUAGAUCGGCACCCAGGCGUCUUACAGGGUGGACCCCAUGCUGGCAGGGUGGGAAGCCAGAGAAAAGAGGCUUGGAAGAAGCAAAGGGAACUCUCAAGAGGGUGCAGAGAUGAACGUGGCUUGCACCUGGAGAAUUCCCAGCCAAUGUGAGCUUGACGCCCCUCUCCUUUCCACCAAUCAGAUGGCACUACCACCUCCUCCUAAUUCCUCUACCAAUGAAAACUAGGUUCCUUUACCUUAUCCACCAAUCAGGGCUUUGGACAAAGAAUAAUCUUAUCAAACCCCACAUGGAUUCACACGCAUCUGGUAGCUUGGUUGUUGACUGAUACAAGUAUGGACCCCCUAGAAGGAACAACAAAUGGAGCUGCCGUCUAUAUACACACGUCGAUUUAGGUCUCUGUCUCUGGCAACUGAAAAGAGACCCAACAAAACAUCUUACAGAGCACCAGGGCCAAUUCUUGAUGCGUCGUUAGAUUCUGUGUAGCCAGAAAGCAGAAACAGAAACAUAUCCAAGCCAGGCGGAGGAAAAACUUUGAGGCCUGUUUAUCCAGGUUCAAGACAAUUUCUAUUUAAAAAAAAAAAAAAGAAAAAAAGAGAGAAAAAAAAAGCUCAUAACAGAAUAAGUUCAGCUUCUCCUGAGUGUCAGAGCUAAGAUCUAACGCCUCUGCUGGUUUCCAUGACAACCACCAGCAGCUACAAUCAUGCCGAACCAAGAACCAGAGGAUUCAGUAACUUUACCUUGAUUCUGUGGCCAGAUUAUUGCCAAUUUUAAAAGGAAAUGCAUAGUGAGCCCCUGUCUCUGUUGUGUCUUCAGUUGUCCCUUGAAAUCUGGAUAUCUUGACAAGAGGCCAGGGCCUAUCCUAUCUCAUCUCCCCAAGCUAGUGUCCUUCCCAGAUGAAUUUCUUCUGGCGCUGGUGAGAUUACUUGGUGACCUAGUUCCGACUACACAAGUUAUGCUGUCGUGAUUGCUGGGGGUAAUUGCUCAAAAUAGCUCUCUGAUUUGUUUCAUAAACAGGCUCUGUGGCAGGCUCAUGUCGUUUUUUCCCCAAAGAAGAGAUUCCAGAGACGAGGCCUUCACUGAGAGCUUGCUCCUCUACCUCCUGUGGGUUUCAGGGCUGGGACGGGGGACACAGAGAAUCUGUCUCUCGCGAAUGCCAAGUUGAGGUCCUAGCCUGGCUAGGAACUCUUGCAUUCCCCUUGCCUCGCUGUAGCCUCCCCUGGGAACAGACCUUCCAGGAGGGUCGCACCGAGUGAUGAGACUGUUGCAUGAGGCUCUGCAGUGCUUGGACACAGAACUGCACUGCGGCCUUCCAGAUGCUCAGCUGGAAAACCCCUGAGAACCUGAGGCUUUUCUACAGCACAUUAGAGCUUAUGACUGGAGAGUGUCUACCGCCUGAGGGCAGGGAUGAGAUUUUACCUAUCCUAUUCACCUGCUUAGGUGCCCA